UGAUGUUCUAUUGUUAUUCUUAUUUAUUGUCAUUUAAUGAUUUAAUCGUGUCAGCGGUGUUAAUGCGGUUAAUGCUGUUUUGUUUCCGAACGAAGAUAAUGUCAUUUGGAAGAAGCUUUUCUGACAAAAAAAGUGUUACCUGCUUUUUCACUAUAAACUUUACAAAAAUGUCUCAAUGGAGCUUUCUUGUAAUCUUUACAUUGAAUAUUAUCUAUCAACAUACAGAAAAUUGAAGAUUUAUUACAAUUCGGUAUUCCAAAGGUGAUGUGGAAGAUGGUAAUAGUGUCAUGGUAUGGAUAAAGUGCAAAUGAAACAUGUUGAAGGAUAUAUGCUAGAGAUUAGUAUCAUUUCUUGGUUGGUUAAUUGGGAACUAACACCCUCACGGAAUUAAUUCUUUAAUGAUAAUUAAAGAAUACAAACUAUGGAGUCACUUCAAUUUUUGAAGACAGUGUCCUCAAAUUGCUGCCGGAACCGAUAAAAUACGACGAUGAGUUUGAGUAAGCAGUUUUGAAAAUCGCCAAAGCUAAUCAGUGUUGAAGAUGCCGAUUGUUACAAUGAUGGAUAAGUGCAUGGCUAAAAUAUGCUGACAAUACAUGUUUUCUAUAAUGUUUAAUGGAUCAUCGUUCAGUACAACUUCGUUUACUGGAUUAAUCAAACAUUUUAAAGUUUUACGUUGGCUUGUAGAUAUCAUCAGAUCAGCAAUGCAGAUAAAUUUGGUUAUUAUUUUGACAAUAUAUUGCUGAGAUAUCUUAAUAAUUUUGCAUUCGCAAUGUGCAUUUACAAAUCAGCCAUUUAUGGCUGUGCUAUGGAUAGGUACAUAAGCGUUCUCUCAGGAAUAAUAGCAAAAGAGCAUUUUUACAUCUCUUGCUAUGAAAUAAAGUUAUUCUUUAUAGAACGCAUAUGUACGUGCAAAUUGUUGUUUUUGUGAUUCGUUUUGUAGGUUACUUUUGUCGAAAUUGUUCGUUGCAUAGGGUGAAAAUGUUGAAAUAAUACAAGUUCAAAAACAAAUUCUACAUAAUUAUUUUAAAGAACGCUGUUUCAUUCUACUUUAAUUAAACCGCACCCAUCACCAAAAACUUCUCUUUUUUAACCAACCCGUGAAUAAAUAAAGAAAAAUUAAAAAUUUAAUUUAGUAUGGUAAAUUUUAAAACAUGGCGUUAAACAUAAACCUGCAUUAGGGCAAUAGUAUUGACUUUCACGUCGUAUCAAAACGGAUCAAACGUAUUCUCUUUUUUAGAUCUCCUGAAAGUCUCAAAGGAGGAUCAUUUCGGGGUGUAUGUGGAGUUGAUAAACUACUAGGGCCAGCUUCUUGUAUAUCAUCAGCGAUGAGUUUCUGUCAGCCAGAUCUGUCAGCCAAUAUCUUGCUACUUCUUAUAAAAAGGUUUUGUACAUUAUUUUUUUUUGUUUAUAAGAUUAUUCUAUAUGAAUUGAAUAGGGCACAAUUUAUCAAGUACCUUGUGAUCCUUUUCGUCCAUUUUUUGGUUUUAUGUAGUAUAGAAUAAUAUGAUGUUACUGAUCUGCUCGAUCAACACCUUUCAUGUACUUAUUGUAUUCUAUUAUACAUGAUGGUUUUUCAACUACGGCUCCUGUUUUCCGAUCUAUUUUGUUUGUCGUUAGCAUUUCAGCUGAAUCAAUUAUAGAAAUGAAUCUACCGAUCUUUUUUUUCAAUCUCUAUCGAUCACCUUUUCUGCGAAAACAGUUUUCUCCACUUUUCAGUUUCAUUUUUUUUCAAAGAAACAGGAAGGUCUCUAUUCUGUCGAAUUAUUCCGCAUAUUCGAAUUUUAUGAUCUAGAAGAAGGUCCGCUGUUGCCCCAAAUUUCAUUACUACAGAAACGGUUGGUUUUGGUCGGGUAAAGUAAUAGCUUCCAAGUACUUAGUAUAGUAAUAUUGAAGGGUGACAAUAUACUGUAAUAAUAUAACCAAUUAGUAUAUAACCAUUAUUUUGAGGAUUUAAAGACUUAUCGUAUUGAAUGUAAGAGAAUGUUAUAAAUGAUAAUAAUAAUAAAUUUAUUUUAGAAAUAUAAAAUAUUAUUUAAUGAUGAAUUCAGUUAUGUAUUAUUGGCCGUGGAUGUUUUCUAUUGUAUAUAAUCCAUGUAAAGUCGAUACGAAGUAAUUUUAAAGACUCCCUAACAGAUAGAUAGGCUCUAAGAGUACGCACUUAAUUUUUAAAUCGGAAUAAACAAAACUGUUUCAGGAAAAACACGUUUAUUUAACACAAAAUAUAUUCGUUAAAAUAUUACAAAACAUAAACUAAAUUCUCAAACAUACUUAAGAACGGUUACUUUGGUUAUUUAAAAAAUUCUGCAGAUUUUCAACUGCGUACUCUUGGAAACCACUGGUUCCAACCAUUCCAUAAAAAUUCGAAUUAGAAUGUAGAUCCAUGUUGCAAGUGGUUUGUAUAAAGAAUAUAACGAAAAAACUUCUAAACUUGCUUUAUUUAAUUUAAUAUGCAGUCAGACCGGUUUCGGGGCUAGCCCCAUCAUCAGUGACAACUAAAUAUAAACGGAGAAAACAUAAAUUAUAAUUAUAAAAAUAUAUAAAAAUGUAUAUGACAAACAUUAGCAAAAAAAAAAAAAAAUAUUUUAACAAAUUAAAACAUGUUAAAAAAUCUAUAAAACUACUCACUGUCAGUGGCAAACUAAAAUUGUAGAACGAAGAUCAUCAAAAGAACAGGGGGAGCAUGUAAAAGCUUGUAUAAGGCUGAAGGCUUUAUAAAGCGGUGAUAAAAAUGUAUAACAAAAUGGCGAAAGUAAAAAAAGGCACGUUUUUU
rnacentral:lncRNA from 1 species